rnacentral:rRNA from 1 species
AAAGGAAUAGACGGGACCCCGCACAAGCGGUGGAGCAUGUGGAUUAAUUCGAUACUAACCGAAGAACCUUACCCAGACUUGACAUCGACGGAAAGCCUUAGAAAUAAGGCCCUCUCCCACAAGGAGACCAGAAGACACUUGUUGCAUGGCUGUCGUCAGCUCGUGCCGUGAGGUGUACGGUUAAGUCCGCCAACGAGCGCAACCCUCGUUCUAUGUUGCCAGCACUAAAGGUGGGAACUCAUAGGAUACUGCCCGUGUAAGCGGGAGGAAGGUGAGGAUGACGUCAAGUCAGCAUGGCAGUUACGUCUGGGGCUUCACACAUGCUACAAUGGGCGAAACAAACGGCAGCAAUACCGCGAGGUGGAGCAAAUCCGAAAAAUACGCCCCCAGUUCAGAUUGUAGUCUGCAACUCGACUACAUGAAGGCGGAAUCGCUAGUAAACGCAGGUCAGCUAUACUGCGUUGAAUACGUUCCCGGGGUUUGUACACACCGCCCGU